rnacentral:rRNA from 1 species
ACGUACACUCCUGCGGGAGGCAGCAGUGGGGAAUAUUGCACAAUGGGCGCAAGCCUGAUGCAGCGACGCCGCGUGGGGGAUGAAGGCCUUCGGGUUGUAAACUCCUUUCGCUAGGGACGAAGCUUUUUUGUGACGGUACCUAGAUAAGAAGCACCGGCUAACUACGUGCCAGCAGCCGCGGUAAUACGUAGGGUGCGAGCGUUGUCCGGAAUUACUGGGCGUAAAGGGCUCGUAGGUGGUUUGUCGCGUCGUCUGUGAAAUUCUGGGGCUUAACUCCGGGCGUGCAGGCGAUACGGGCAUAACUUGAGUGCUGUAGGGGUAACUGGAAUUCCUGGUGUAGCGGUGAAAUGCGCAGAUAUCAGGAGGAACACCGAUGGCGAAGGCAGGUUACUGGGCAGUUACUGACGCUGAGGAGCGAAAGCAUGGGUAGCGAACAGGAUUAGAAACCCCUGUAGUCC